rnacentral:rRNA from 1 species
CCUACGGGAGGCAGCAGUGAGGAAUAUUGGUCAAUGGCCGGAAGGCUGAACCAGCCAAGCCGCAUGAAGGACGAAGGUGCCAAGCACUGUAAACUUCUUUUGUCAAGGGACAAAAUCAGGCUCGAGAGCCUGACCGAGGGUACUUGAAGAAAAAGCAUCGGCUAACUCCGUGCCAGCAGCAGCGGUAAUACGGAGGAUGCGAGCGUUAACCGGAUUUAUGGGGUUUAAAGGGUGCGUAGGCGGGCUGUUAAGUCAGCGGUGAAAGCCCGCGGCUCAACCCCGGCAAGCCGUUGAAACUGGCUGUCUUGAGAUGUCGAGAGGUAUGCGGAAUGCGCAGUGUAGCGGUGAAAUGCUUAGAUAUUGCGCAGAACUCCGAUUGCGAAGGCAGCAUACCGGCGGCGAUCUGACGCUGAGGCACGAAAGCGUGGGUAUCGAACAGGAUUAGAUACCCUUGUAGUC